rnacentral:tRNA from 1 species
UGUGGGUUAGUGUAAUAGUAACAUAUCUGGCUCAUGACCAGAUGAUCUAGGUGCAAUUCCUAGACCCACGUAA